rnacentral:rRNA from 1 species
UACGUAGGGGGCAAGCGUUGUCCGGAAUUAUUGGGCGUAAAGAGCGCGUAGGCGGUCCGGUAAGUCAGCUGUGAAAGUCAAGGGCUCAACCCUUGAAAGCCGGUUGAUACUGUCGGGCUAGAGUCCGGAAGAGGCGAGUGGAAUUCCUGGUGUAGCGGUGAAAUGCGCAGAUAUCAGGAGGAACACCAACGGCGAAGGCAGCUCGCUGGGACGGUACUGACGCUGAGACGCGAAAGCGUGGGGAGCGAACAGG